GAUGAACGCUGACAGCAUGCUUAACACAUGCAAGUCUACUUGAACUUCGGUUUGGGUGGCGGACGGGUGAGUAACGCGUAACGAACUUGCCUCUCAGUUAGGGACAACAUUUGGAAAAGAAUGCUAAUACCUGAUAUUAUGAUUUUAGGGCAUCCUAGGAUUAUGAAAGCUAUAUGUGCUGUGAGAGAGCUUUGCGUCCCAUUAGCUAGUUGGAGAGGUAACGGCUCACCAAGGCGAUGAUGGGUAGCCGGCCUGAGAGGGUGAACGGCCACAAGGGGACUGAGACACGGCCCUUACGCCUACGGGAGGCAGCAGUGGGGAAUAUUGGACAAUGGACCAAAAGUCUGAUCCAGCAAUGCUGUGUGCACGAUGACGUUUUUCGUAAUGUAAAGUGCUUUCAGUUGGGAAGAAAAAAAUGACGGUACCAACAGAAGAAGUGACGGCUAAAUACGUG
rnacentral:rRNA from 1 species